rnacentral:tRNA from 1 species
GAGAGCGAGAGGGCGGAUGUAGCC